rnacentral:rRNA from 1 species
GAUGAACGCUGGCGGCGUGCCUAAUACAUGCAAGUCGAGCGAACAGACGAGGAGCUUGCUCCUCUGACGUUAGCGGCGGACGGGUGAGUAACACGUGGAUAACCUACCUAUAAGACUGGGAUAACUUCGGGAAACCGGAGCUAAUACCGGAUAAUAUAUUGAACCGCAUGGUUCAAUAGUGAAAGACGGUUUUGCUGUGACUUAUAGAUGGAUCCGCGCCGCAUUAGCUAGUUGGUAAGGUAACGGCUUACCAAGGCGACGAUGCGUAGCCGACCUGAGAGGGUGAUCGGCCACACUGGAACUGAGACACGGUCCAGACUCCUACGGGAGGCAGCAGUAGGGAAUCUUCCGCAAUGGGCGAAAGCCUGACGGAGCCACGCCGCGUGAGUGAUGAAGGUCUUCGGAUCGUAAAACUCUGUUAUUAGGGAAGAACAAAUGUGUAAGUAACUAUGCCCGUCUUGACGGUACCUAAUCAGAAAGCCCCGGCUAACUACGUG